rnacentral:lncRNA from 1 species
AGGACUACCAGCCCAGGGAUAGCACCACCCACCAAUGGGCCCUCCCACUCUUGAUCACUGACUGAGAAAAUGCCUUACAGCUGGAUCUCAUGGAAGCAUUUCCUCAAGGGAGAUUUCGUUCUCGGUGAUAACUCCAGCUUGAGUCAAGUUGACACACAAAACCAGCCAGCACAGACUCUUAUCACGUCCUUUCUCUUCUAAUAAACCAAGAGUAAGACCUGUUUCUCUAAAGUUGCUCCCACUCCCGCUGCUGUUACUUAAAAUAGUUUUCCGUGAGACGUCUCUGGAAACACAUACCUUGUUUGUGACAAUUUCAGAGUGACUCCUUUUAACUCAUCCUUGGUGAAGGAUCAGAGGAAACUUUCCAAACUCCCGUAUGCCAUGCUCAAACUCUGCUCCCGAGCUACCCUGGUCAAGUUCGUGAACUAUUACCAGCAUCAGCUAGAUAACAUAAGGCUGCAUUCAUCACAAUGGCAUAUAGCUGUUGGCUAUAUAGGAACGAGUUUCAUCUUUUGA